rnacentral:rRNA from 1 species
AAUAGAUACCCCGGUAGUCCACGCCGUAAACGUUGGGCGCUAGGUGUGGGGAACCUUCCACGUUCUCCGUGCCGUAGCUAACGCAUUAAGCGCCCCGCCUGGGGAGUACGGCCGCAAGGCUAAAACUCAAAGGAAUUGACGGGGGCCCGCACAAGCGGCGGAGCAUGCGGCUUAAUUCGAUGCAACGCGAAGAACCUUACCUAGGCUUGACAUAUACCGAAAACUCACAGAGAUGUGGGGUCCGGCAAGGGCGGGUAUACAGGUGGUGCAUGGUUGUCGUCAGCUCGUGUCGUGAGAUGUUGGGUUAAGUCCGCAACGAGCGCAACCCUCGUCCUAUGUUGCCAGCGAGUAAUGUCGGGGACGUCAUAGGAGACUGCCGGGGUCGAACCCGGAGGAAGGUGGGGAGUGAGGUCGAAAUCAUCAUGCCCCUUACUGUCUAGGGUCGUGCGACGCAUGCUACAAUGGUCGGUACAAAGGGCGUGCGAUACCGCAAGGUGGAGCGAAUCCCAAAAAGCCGGCCUCAGUUCGGAUUGGGGUCUGCAACUCGACCC